rnacentral:lncRNA from 1 species
CUUUCUCUCUGUAAAGUUACUGGAAUGCAAGGAAUUUGGCAUUGUAGGAGGUCAUACUGGAAAUAAUCAUCAUAUCCUUCAGGGCUGUUCAAGUCAUUCCUUGUUUUCAUAGUCCCUUCUGGUCAACUUAUGUUCCCCCAGAAAUGGGUAUUAAAAUCUGGUGUGAGAGCUUACAUUUGCAGACUGAGGAAAACACUGAAGGAAGGGGAAGGAUAGAAACAAGUUUUUUAGAGAUUCUGAUGUUUUGUGACUCGAAAUGGGUGCAUUCACUUGAGAAAUGUGAACAGGGCUGCAUAUCAUCAGCCAGGCUUCAAGACGUCUUGGCUGCCUUGGUGGUGUAA